ACCGGCGCGAUGGCGCAUGCCUGUAGUCCCAGCUACUCGGGAGGCUGAGGUGGGAGGAUCACCUGAGUCUAGGAGUUCUGGGCUGUAGUGCGCUAUGCCGAUCGGGUGUCCGCACUAAGUUUGGCAUCAAUAUAGUGACCUCCCGGGAGCGGGGAACCACCAGGUUGCCUAAGGAGGGGUGAAACGGCCCAGGUCGGAAACCGGAGCAGGUCAAAAUGCCCAUGCUGAUCAGUAGUGGGAUUGCGCCUGUGAAUAGCCACAGAACUCCAGCCUGGGCAACAUAGCGAGUGAGACCCCAUCUCU
rnacentral:SRP_RNA from 13 species